AGAACAAGCGUAUAAGAUUCUUUUGCCACUUAAUGAAAAAUAUAUUUUUGAAAAUGUCUCUUUAGUGAUGGUAAACAUGAAUAAUGGUACCAAAAAAUGGUAGACAUGAAAAUUCCCUUAUUUUUUUAAUUAUUUUUUUUUCUUAAACACUUUAGAUUUGUUAAUUUAGAAUUUUUACCAUACUGUUGAAAAUAUGCUAUCAAUAUGAAUGAUCGGUCUACAAAAGCUAUUUUGAAAAUACAUUUUGUUUUUGUUAUUAAAUAUAGUGGUUGGUUUAAUUUUAUAUUUCAAUAAUAGAAGUAUAUGAUUGCUUUGUUAACGGAAAUAUAAUCAAGCUUAUUUUUUAUAGAACAUUUUCAUAUAUUAUUCAUUAAUGUAAUUGUUUUGUUUUUUUUUAUCUUGUGCAAUUUUGAAAGUGCAAUAGAUAGUGUACCAAUUUAUUUCAUUAACAUAAAUGACAGAUAAAUGAUUGAAAAAAUAUAUUUCAUAUGAAUAGUUUUAUUUUCAGUAUGUUUAUUAUUAAAUAUAAUAUAUAUUAACGUGAUGUAAGAUAGAUGUAGAAUUCCAAAUAAAAGUUUUUAACAUUUAAAUAUUCAUUGUAUAUAAUUCAAGAGUUUUGGGAUAGAAAAUUCUAAAUCAUCAACAGACAACAUAAGAAAUCUCAAAAAACAUAGAUAGAAAAAAACAAGAAAAUUCAUGUUUGAAAAGACAAAAACAAACACAAUGCAUUACAAUUUAUGUUUUAAUAAGUUAACCGAAGCAGACAUUUAAUAAAUUACACUUAUAGGUUAUUCAGUCAAAAAUAAUAAUUUAUACAAAUAAUUCGAUUUAUUAUGAUCGAAACCUAAAAAAUACAAGUAUAAUCUUAAGGAAACUAAUAUCUAAAUUAAUAUUAAAUUGAACAGAAUUUAUCGUAAAUAUCACAUAAUGUAAGGUUUUAGUUACUGUUCAUAUUUUAAUAAGAGAGAUAUCACUAAUAAUUUGAAACAUUAAAUUGAAUUACUGCAUGCAUACUAUAAAAUUGUUGUGUUUGAAAAUAUUAUAUUAAACUAUUAGUAAAAUGAUAAAUAUUAAUAUUAUACACCACUAACAUGUAAAUCAAAUAUUUAUAUGUAUAAAUGAAAAAAUGCCAGCACGGUUUUGCGUAGCAUUGCGAUUUUUGUCCGGGCCGAACCGAGCCAAACCGAAUUUUUUAGUUAUCGGUUCGGUUUUGGUUUUGAGUUUGGUUUAGUUUGGUAGGAUAUUGAAAAAUAAUUCAUUUUCGGUUCUGUUCGGUUUUUUAUUUUCAAAAAUAAAAUAAAAAACCAAAAAAAAACCCUGAAAAUAACUGAAAAUAUCCGAAAAACCAGACUGAAUUUAACCAAAACCCCAAAUAUAUCCGAAUUUAACCGAAAUAACCAAAAAUAUCCGAUUUUUUUUUUGGAAAAUUAGACCGGAAUGAACUGAAAACAAAAAAAAUGGUUAUUUUUGGAAAUAAUUUUGAAAACCGAAAUUAACUGAUAACCGAACCGAACCAAAAUUUAAUUCGGUUAAUUUCAGAAUUGGUUUUCACAAUUUUGGUUAACCAAAAACCGAUGGUGCGGUUCGGUUUCGGAAAACCAAAAUUGCAGACCUAGUUGCGCGGAUCAAAAUCUAGUAUACUAUUAAAACAAAAUCAUUAUUCGUACCUAAAUUUAACUUAUCGUGUGAUAUUAUCCAAUUCAAACUCUUAUAUUCACUAUGCAUCAUAAUAUGACUCCAUCCAACUUACUUAUUUAACUAAAUAUUAAAAAAAUAACUAAAAAGUUGUUUCGUUCAAAUUUUUCUAAUAUUUUAAUCUAAUAAAAGUCUACUAUAUAUUUUUUUAUAAAAACUAGAAAUCCACGGUUUUUUUAAAGAUAUUAAAUUUGGUAAAUAUAUAAAUAAGUAAAUAAUUUCGUUAUUAUUAUUAAAUAAUUAUUAUAUAUCAAUAUUUAAUUUUGACUCAUUACAUGAUUAUUAUAGAUCAAUAUUGUUAUUCGUAGUUUUGAAUAAUAUUAUUAGCUGUUGCUUAUUAAUAAGGUUCUUAUAUGUAAUGAGUCAAUAUUUAAUUUUGACUCAUUACAGAUUAUAUCCUAUCAGAUCAUUACAGAUUAUUAUAUCAAUAUUAAAUAAUUAUUAUAUAUCAAUAUUUAAUUUUGACUCAUUACAGACUAUAUCCUAUCAGAUCAUUUUCCGAUCAUGUCCUAAAUUACUAGUGGACUAGUUGACUUGUUGAUAUUUUAGCUAAUUUGGAUUUGAACAUUUUUUAAUAUUAUAUAUAUACAUAUGAUUGUUCAUGUGUGCAUUCUCAUUACACUCUUUUGUCAAAAACAUUCUCAUUACACUCAUUGUGAUUUUAUUUGUGAUUUUGUUCUUCUAAUAUCAUUAAAAUGACUAGACCCAUCAUUUGUGUUAUUCUUAUGGUCGUCUUUGUUCUAGGUAUGGUGGCGAAGGAAACACAAGGAGAAAAUACGUGUCAUACAAAUAUAUCUUAUGGUAAUGAAGGUUGUGAAUCUAUGGUAUGCAGUUUAGACUGUGCUACAAAUUGGAAGGGAUUCGGCGAGUGUGUGAGUACAAAAAGUCCAAACUGCAUAUGCGCUUAUCCUUGCCCAAAUUGAUUUUAUUUGUUAUCCAUAAUCUAUCAACAAUCACAUUAAUAAAAUAAUGAAUAAUAAAAAUUGCAAAA